UCGGCAAAUCAGUUUCGACUGCGCUCAUCAAACGUCGUCGUUCUCCACUUCCUAACCUUCUUUUCGUUGUGACAUUUCCCCAAUCAACAACAAUGGCUUCUGCUUCCUUCGUCAACUCUUUCACCUGUUCUUCGCGUGCUCCCACUCUCCACCCUUUCACCACCGUCUCCACCGCCACGUCACUCAGGCCCGGCAACGGCCGCUCUUCGAGACCACUCGUCACCAGGAUCUCGUCGCCUUCCCCCGUUGUCUGCAAAGCUGUCUCCGUUAAGCCCCAAACUGAAA
rnacentral:lncRNA from 1 species